CUGCAGAUUUAUUAAAACACUCUCCCUCCCCAUUCAUUUCCCCUAACUCAAAUCAAAAACAAGCAAAGGCGAAAAUUUGUGCAAACAGAAUUCCAAGGUUGCAUCAAGGCUCCAAUCACACUGCUAAACAACAUUCAAAAGCCCUCAAUCCUAACACUUUGAACAUGUCAGACAACCAACCAGCACGCAUCAGACAGGGAAGGGAGACCAAGCCUGCGUCGGCUAGAGAGGGAAUGGGUGGCGCUAAGGGAAGAAAGGGUUCUUCAAAGAAGGAGGUGAAGGAGGUGAAGGAGGUGAAGGAGAAGAAGAAGGUUUUGACUGGUUCUGCUUCUCGUCCCC